UACAGAGGUCCCAAGCGUUGUUCGGAUUCACUGGGCGUAAAGGGUGCGUAGGCGGUCGGGUAAGUCUGGUGUGAAAUCUCACAGCUUAACUGUGAAACUGCAUUGGAUACUAUCCGGCUAGAGGAAUGGAGGGGAGACUGGAAUACUUGGUGUAGCAGUGAAAUGCGUAGAUAUCAAGUGGAACACCAGUGGCGAAGGCGAGUCUCUGGACAUUUCCUGACGCUGAGGCACGAAAGCCAGGGGAGCAAACGGG
rnacentral:rRNA from 1 species